UUUAUGGAGAGUUUGAUCCUGGCUCAGGAUGAACGCUGGCGGCGUGCCUAAUACAUGCAAGUCGAGCGGACUGACGAGGAGCUUGCUCCUUUGACGUUAGCGGCGGACGGGUGAGUAACACGUGGGUAACCUACCUAUAAGACUGGAAUAACUCCGGGAAACCGGGGCUAAUGCCGGAUAACAUAUCGAACCGCAUGGUUCGA
rnacentral:rRNA from 1 species